rnacentral:rRNA from 1 species
CUCUAUAGCCACAGCACCCUGAAUGUGUCUGAUUUCAUCUGAUCUCAGAGGGUAAGUAGGAUCAGACCUAAUUAUUGCCUUUAUAGUAUUUGGAAGAGAGA